AAAUUGAAGAGUUUGAUCAUGGCUCAGAUUGAACGCUGGCGGCAGGCCUAACACAUGCAAGUCGAACGGUAACAGGAAGCAGCUUGCUGCUUC
rnacentral:rRNA from 18 species